GGCCAUGAUUCAACAAUUGCGAAUUCCUGCAGAUCCGAAGAAGAAACAGUGUGGGUGCAUCCGUUUUCGGACCAAGAGAUGAUAAUCUUAGAGUGAAACUGGUGAGUUUUUCGUACUUUUAGGCCAGAGACGCUUUGCAAGCACGAGCGUCUUGCAUCUUCAGAGCUCAAAAACCUCGAAAAACUCACCAGUUGCAAGCGGUCGUCGCGAAAGCCCUACGCUUGAGUGGAGCACUUAACUUCUUGGUGAGCAGAAGAAAAUUGAUGUUCACCCAGUUAAAUUACUUAAGGCUUCUGCUGUAUGCUUAGUUUCAAGAAUACAAAUUAGCUGUUCCAACCAAUUUGAGUUGCACAAACGCCUGAUGAAGAUUCACUUUUUCACUGGCCAAGAAAUGCUGCUGAUUAUGGCGAUAUUUUUCAGGGCAGAUGCUGAUGAGUGCGACCACCAGGAGAGUCGUUAUAAGUAAUCGUUCCUCUCGAAUGGGCUUUUUCAUGCGCUGAAUAUGCUUAUUGGGGCGAAAGAGUUGACAAGAAGUCAUGGACAUGGACAAAUUGCACGGGCUUUGGCGAUAAAUCUUAAUGAGACCGAGUGAAGGACAUUGGGCGCCAUGCCGGGAGAAACAACUCAGGUCAAUGUGAAAUGUUUUUGUACUCGGCUUUUUACUGCUGAGGAAUGUCGAUUUUGAGCAUCUGGACCACAGCGGCGUACCGUGAAACACAUUGAGAAAUAACACAAAAGAUGCUGGUUGUAAAUCAAUUAUUAGAUCGAAUCUACAGUGAGAAGUUUGGUCAAAUUGUGCAUUUUCAAUGUCGACUUUCAAAUGGUAUCGCAAAAAAUGUUCCUCAUCUGAACCCCCGCUGAAUUACUGAACAAAACUUACUUAACUUUAGGCAUUUUUUUCAGGCUAGGAUGGUAAAGCUGAACACGCCAUCCAAAAAAUGUUCUAUAAAAAAUAAAACCAAAAUACACAAAGAAGGCGGAAAAUCAAUAACGACCAAUGGAACCGCGGGACCAUACAAAUAAACUAGAAAAGCAAUUUUUCAACAGUAAAAAUAUUUAACCCAGCAUCUUUUCUUCACAUCCAAACAGUGAACAACCAUCUACAACUCUCUCGAUAACCGCUUAAGAAAAAAAAAUCAGCAAAUAUUCAAAGCAAUGGAGCUUUCAGUGUUGUUAUACUCAUUUACUUCGUUUGAAGGGGAAAUUCAAAGUUUAGUACUUCAAUUCAUAUUAAAAGCUUCAUCCAAAAAAACAUUUGCAAUUUUCUCAAAAAACUUAGUCGAACUCCACCUUGCCUUGAACUUGUAGAAAAAUUGAGGAGUUUGCAGCCUGCUGAAGCGCACGUUUUAACAUCUUCAUUCUGUUUCGAGUUAUAUGAGCAUAAGACUAUUAAAAAAUAAAAUUUACUUAGAAUUAAAAGUUACGAAAUUAAGCACAAAUUUUGAAACCUUAUUUCUUCAGGCACAAUUUGAAACCGCCGCCUUUUCCAUCAAUCGUAAGAUUAACCAGUUUAUUGAACCGAUUGUGAUACAUUUUUGUUUGUUAAUUUAUUAACAUAGGAGAUAUUUUAUUUAGAAACUUGCUUUUGACUGCGUCAAUAAAGUAUUAAUUAAAAAAAUAUA